GAGGCAGCCAAUGUUGUACCUCGUGCUGGCAGCUGAACUUUGUAGUGUAAGAGUCACCCAGGUGGUAGUGGUUUUGAAGGCAUGAAGGGGUCAUGGAGAGCAGCUGAGGCUUAGCAGUGUGAGAGGCCAGAGGAAGACAUUAGUGAAGGUAGAGUAGCCAUUGAAGGUUCAGGAUUAAAAGGUUCACACAGAGAAUUCAAGGCUUGGCACAAUUUAGAGAGCCCAGGAGAAGCUAUUGGUGAAGGUGCAGCCCCGUUGCAGCAAGAGAUCCAAGCAUUUCGGAGAUGACAGUAUGGUGGGAUGACCACCCCCUGCAGGAGCAGUGGUGGACGGGAACCUGCCUAAUCUUAGUAGACACGCUGUGUGAGCUGCAGAGGACACAGCUGGAGAAACCCAAGCACCCUGGAGGAGCCCAGAAGAUCGUGAGCGAAUCCCAUUCCCGGUAGAGUUCCCAGGUAGGCGGCUCCUGGACUUUUGACCCACAUCACUGCGAGCUGAUAAUUCCGGAACGAUGGUGUCCUCGUACCAAGGAAGACAGGACAGGAAGCUGGCUGAUCACACUUCACUCACAGGCAGGAAGCCAGCUCACUAAAGGUAUGUCUGCAUGCACAUUUGAUGCUCAGGAAGACCAGAAGAUGGUGUUGGAUCCCCUGAGACUGGAGUAGAGCAAGCUCCCCUGGAAAGUGUUGGCUUGGAGGCCAGAUGAGCGUGGGUUUGCAGCUCAGUCUGGUGGCCUUCUCCUUCUGUGGCUUUGGAAGCAUUUGCUUCCUGGACUUUAGUGUGUGGUCCCUGCCUUGGGUCCCUCCCUUGACUUCCCAUGAAGAUGCACUACAGAUGAAACACCCACCUUAAAAAGAGUUGACGGAUUGCUUUGGCCUGUGGCGGAAUCUGGUGUACCAGGGAGGCCAUGGCUCUGAGUGGACUGGCUUGCGUGCUGUGGAUGCCUGAGCUAUUGACAAGGAGAAAAAAUACAAUGAACCCAACCACCCAGCCCCAACUGAAGCACUCAUGUGUACUCCCACGAAGGACCCCAUAGCUCAGAGUAUGCCCCAGGCUCCCACCAAGAAAAAGCCAGGGAGAAAACUUCACAAAUCGUGGAAGAAGACCAUCACAAGGGACUGCCAGGAGUCCCACAGAGGAACUGUUCACACUGACAAAAUCACCUGGUAAGGUUCUUUCAUCAGAGAUGUGUUGAAAACACCCAGAAUUAGAAAGAGAGAGAAGUAUAGUUGUAUGGCACGACAGGCAAACUUGUAAGAAGUCACUUCAGAUAAAAAACAGCAACAACAACAACAAACCCGGAACCAAACGUUACACUAGAUGUAGGGGAGUGUUUACAGGUGUGCUCUUCAACAGACAAGACUAGGAAAUAGAAGACAGCAUUUUUAAUGGUUUAUCUGCAUUGUCUUGACCACAUCUGGAAUAAACUAAUACCCAGGCUGCUGGGCCUGCUUGGAGGGAUUUUCUUAAUCAGAAGCAGGAAGACCCACCCUAAACCCGGGCCAUGCCCUCUGGCUGCAGCCUAUAUAAAUGGACAUGGAAGGAGGACAACUUUCUUUGUGCCUGCUUGCUCUCACUCUUUCUGGAAAGUCCAUCUAGCCUGGGGUUACAGUGUUUCUUCAGGGAUUUUAGAACCAACCUCUUUGGGAGCCUAAUGUAGCCCAAAGAUAGGCAGCUCUCCAGGAGCCCUGCGGGACUCAGCACUGGAUGGGGACUGAACAACUACCAGUGUCUCAGUCUUUUCAGUAUGAGGUAACCAUUGUUGAACUAUCCAGACAGCACGCUGUAAACAAGUGUAAUAAGUCUGUGUGUGUGUGUGUGUGUGUGUGAGAGAGAGAGAGAGAGAGAGAGAGAGAGAGAAGGAGAGACAGACAGACACAGACAGACAGACUACACUCUGCGAAAUUAAACAGUGAUUUCUUUUUAGUUCUGUAGAAGUCUGUGGGUGGGUAGGUUCAUGUGAACCCAGGGCCUGAGGAGGACAGGGAUGUCGAAUCAAGAAUGUUGCCUGCUGUUGACAGCUGAGCAUCUCUCCAACCAAUAGCAUGUGGAUUUUCACCCUCCACAGGACACGGAAAUAACAAUACCCGUGUAUAAAGGGAAGGUAAUGGGAGUUUCCAGAGAUCAUAGAAACAGUCACUGUCAGACAAAAGACGUCGUCCCAUCCUCAGUAAAAGAUGCCAGGAAGAAAAAGGAAGGAAGGAAAAAUAUUCCCUUAGCCCCCAGGCCAAAGACUCCUGGUUUUAAAUCUCACUAACACAAAUGAUUCAAACACCAAGCCAAGUCCUCUCAGUGACCAGCAGGAAAUGUGCUACAGUGCAGGGCUUACAAUGGCUGGCAAAAUUAAAAUAAACUGCUAUUCUUAUCUUAAUAUUUUUGCAUUAUUCAUAGUUUGUGUAUUAAACCUGAUUUGCUUAUAUAAUAAAGAUGAGUAUUUUAAAGACUAAUAA